CAGAGCUGUGUGCCAGACUGCAUGCCUCCUCUCCACUGAAGGACAACAGGAAAAAGUUGUGCCUAGGUGAACAGACCUCAGGACACUGGUUUUAAGCAAGUUAAAAAGCUGUGGGUUUGGCAGUCUGCCUGGUGAUGGUGUACAGCACUGGAGGGAUUUCAAGUGCGCUCCUAUCAUUUGCAGGUGAAACUGUGUGCAGCCUUGACCACUUGACCAUGCUACUACAAUUCCAGCAACUAUGAAGAACAGCCUGAUCUGAAGCAACCCAGCUGAUACUAGCUAUGAAUCAGCACACUCGACUGUAAUCAAACAAACCAGUCGACCCCAAAUACAUUGUGAAAGUGCAAAGGUCAGGGAGAAAAAAGAAAAAAGUGUGAAAGGUUUACAUCCAUUAAAACCAGUCAAGGAAGCGUGACUGUUUCCCAAAAAUAACUCUAAGUGUGCCAGGCAGAACACCAGUGGUCUGACAAAUUUGCUAGAACUAAGAGUUGUUUCAGCAUACGCCUGCAACAAUGAAUAUGGAAAUCUUUAAGGCCAAGUUUAAAAAGGAAGAGAAAGUUCAUCAAGUUUCUGUGAAAGUCUUAGGAGACUUUAACUGAAGUCAGAACUACAUGUUAUCCUGUGUCUGUCCCACCCACCCCCGAAGACAGACCCUCCUCAGAAUCCCUCUUUAUAUGUCUGUACCUACAUGAAGCUGUGAAGUCAGACUAACUACAGUCCAGAUACAUUUGAAGCAAAGCUCAGGAUAUUUAGGAAGAGGAUAUAAUGCUUAAAACAGCAACAGCUCGUCUUGUGGCCCUGCAAGGUGUCAACCUAUCCACUGUUACUGGUCUUUCUAUGAAGACAUCACAGGAAAACAUUACUUAAGCAGUGAUGCCAUAGCAAAGAAAGGUGUUGUAUUGUUGUCUACAGUAGGUUUGGAGAGGUUUCCCCUUCCUUCGUAGUUUAGGUUUGCUUUUCCAAUGCAAAUCAGUACUGACCUCUGCUGCUAGAUUAUCAGCAUGUGUACUUACUAGGGAAAGAGCAAGGAUUAUGCAAUAACACAGAGAUGGCAUUUCCAAAAGGGUAUUCAUGCUGCAGAAUAGGAAUUCCUCUACAUCCAGAAGCUCUAAGGAUGUUUAUAUUCACCCAAGAGCAUGCUUGCCAGGUGGGCAUAGAAAGUAUCCCCAUUACACAAACAGGGAAGUGAGUAAAAGACUUGAAAGGGGAUAGUUUGGAGUACCUCAUCCUGCAUAGCCAUUUCACUAGUUUCCUACCUGGAUAUCCUUCCCCUACUCCAAGAUCACCUUUACAAAGCUGACCUCUGUCUGCCAUGGAAGAUCAUACAGAGGACGUUUGCCAUAAAGAAAAAGAGCAGGCAUACAAUUAGUUCACGUGGAAUACCUAAUGCACUUCCCACACACAUUUUAGCUUAUUUUGCAUUAAUGUCCUCAGGUCACAAGCUUAAGUAGCUUACCCGAGGCUAGGCAGAGUCCAAGGACCUGUCCACAUGGGGAUACUCAGGAAAUGAAUCUGAAAUUAAACUUUAAAAAAGAAUGAGCUAAGCAGCAUCCUAAGCUAGCACUUUCAUUUAGAAUUAGAGCCUUAAUUCAGCUUAGCCUAAUUCUUUCAGUUCUAAAAUGGGGAUAUUGAUACAAGCCUGCUUCCAUAUCUGUUUAUCUGAAUCGGUUGAAGGCAUUACUGCUUCCAGCUAGUCAUCGCUGCUUUCCAGAUGGAGGUUUCUACCCCACAAAACCAUGACAGCAGAGUGAUUCAUGUGAGGUGUCCUGCUUGCAGACAACUUUGUCAGCUGCGGUUUUAAAAAAGGAGGUUUGCAUUCAUCUGGCCUCUUACUGAAAGGGAUCAGGGACACACACAAACCACUACUCUUGGGAUAACCUGCUAUGCUGGCUUUGGCUGGGAUAAAAUUAAUUUUCUUCAUAGUAGCUAGUAUGGGCUGUGUUUUGGAUUUGUGCUGGAAACAGUGUUGAAAAUUCAGGGAUAUUUUGGUUAUUGCUGACCAGUGUUUACACAGUAUCAAGGCUUUUUCUUCUUCUUGCACCACCCCACCAGAGAGCAGGCUGAGGGUGCAUGAGAAGUUGGGAGGGGACACAGCUGGAACAGCCAUCUCCAACUAACAAAAGGGAUAUUCCAUACCAUGUGAUGUCAUGCUCAGCAU